CUGUCAAUCUUAUCCCAUUCCCGCGUCUCCACUUUUUCAUGGUGGGUUUUGCUCCACUCACUUCCCGUGGAUCUCAGCAAUACAGAGCUCUUACAGUACCUGAGCUCACUCAACAAAUGUGGGAUGCGAAGAACAUGAUGUGUGCUGCUGAUCCAAGACAUGGUCGGUAUCUUACUGCCUCUGCUAUGUUUAGGGGUAAGAUGAGCACCAAGGAAGUUGAUGAACAGAUGAUCAAUGUUCAAAACAAGAACUCGUCAUACUUUGUAGAAUGGAUCCCCAACAACGUGAAAUCUACAGUUUGUGACAUUCCUCCAACUGGGUUGAAAAUGGCUUCCACUUUCCUUGGGAACUCAACAUCGAUCCAAGAGAUGUUUCGCCGUGUUAGUGAGCAGUUUACUGCUAUGUUUAGGAGGAAGGCUUUCUUGCAUUGGUACACAGGGGAGGGUAUGGAUGAGAUGGAGUUCACUGAGGCUGAAAGCAAUAUGAAUGAUUUGGUUUCUGAGUAUCAGCAAUAUCAAGACGCUACGGCUGAAGAUGAUGAAUACUACGAUGAAGAUGAAGUUGGUGAACCUGAUGACUGAAGUAUGUGAAGGUGUGUGUGUUAAUCUUUCAAUUGCCAGUCUC
rnacentral:lncRNA from 1 species